GUAGGUGGCAAGCGUUGUCCGGAAUUAUUGGGCGUAAAGCGCGCGCAGGUGGUUCUUUAAGUCUGAUGUGAAAGCCCCCGGCUCAACCGGGGAGGGUCAUUGGAAACUGGGGAACUUGAGUGCAGGAGAGGAAAGUGGAAUUCCACGUGUAGCGGUGAAAUGCGUAGAUAUGUGGAGGAACACCAGUGGCGAAGGCGGCUUUCUGGCCUGUAACUGACACUGAGGCGCGAAAGCGUGGGGAGCAAACAGGGAUUAGAUACCCUGGUAGUCCACGCCGUAAACGAUGAGUGCUAAGUGUUGGGGGGGUUUCCCGCCCCUCAGUGCCCGCAGCUAACGCAUUAAGCACUCCGCCUGGGGAGUACGGUCGCAAGACUG
rnacentral:rRNA from 1 species